CUCACAAUGACCCCUAGCCCCCAGUGGCUCUCCUUGUGUGUGACAGCAGAAUCAGGGCACCACUUCCAACAUCACCUGCUAACACUCUUCCAUCCACAAGAAAGACUGGAACUAUUCGGUCGACUCUCCUGGGUCUCCAGCUUGCGGACUACAUUUGGGGACUUAACAGUUUCCAUACUCACUAUGUCGUGGGCCACUUCCAGCUGAAGAAGAAAGCCUGACCUUUGGAGAGGGGCUAUAAAAAGACAGCCACAUUCACUCCUUCUUCCCCACAAUGCACCUUCCACAAAGGAAGACAAGUGAAGGAUCUCCGUGUUCAAGUGAAAGGUACACAAAGGCAACUUGGCAUUUUGUCAAGCUCAUGGCCAGAGCACAGAAUGGCAAGCAAGAUGCUGCUUAGACGGGGACAGCCUGAUGUGGCCAGGCGAGAGCCGGAUGGGGGUGCUGCCAGCAGAGAGGGGCGUCCUUGCCCUCCAGCCCUCCAGCACCGUCAGGCUGGGGCUGGAGGCCGUUCAGGAAGCUGCCGGAGAGCCCCCAGAGCCAGGAGUCCGUGAUCCCUGACAAAGCUAACUCUC